AACAUAAUUAGCCGAGCUCUCAGAGUGGGAAGGAUGGCAUUCUUUCUCUGUCCCCUGUCACUUACAGCAACUCUAGAUAGCAUUUUCCUCUGAGUGUGUUGUCCUGCCCUGAUGCGGAGAUGUGGAGGUUGGUGUCAUGUGUCUCAGAGGAAGCAUGUGCUUACCCCAACCUCCCAAGAUGCUGUGAUACGGAAGAGUUAGCUAGUGGGAGGAAAUUAGCAAGACCAAAUGGGGAGAAAAUGGAAGCAAAAACAACAACAACAACAACAACAACAACAACAGCAGCAAAAAUCCACUUCAGAUCUGUAGGCCACAAUGCUGUUGUCAUGAUCUUGCUGGCAGAUGGCGCUGCGGCGACGACGUGCACAGUCAGCUGGAGAGCGUGUGCACGUGCUUGAAGUGCGCAUGGAUGAUAAGACUUUGUUUACAACGGACAUGUGCACUUAUUUUGGUUUCUGUUCUGUCCCCACCCUGUUCAGUUAUUGGCGGAGGUGUGAGGGUGUGCUUUGAAGUGUUACCAGCUGUCAGCAAUUAAGAGGGAUGCGGGAAGACUGGAGCCUAUCCCGGGGACUCGGGGCAUAAGGUGGGGACACCUUGGAUGGGGUGCCAACCCAAUUGCACACACACACACACUCAUUCACACACUAUGGACAAUUUAAAGUUGCCAAUCAGUCAACAACGCAUGUCUUUGGACUGGGGGAGGAAACCAGAGCAACUGGAGGAAACCCCUGACACACGAGGAGAACAUUCAAACUCUGUGCACAUAGGGCGGAGGCGGGGAUCAAACCCCUAACUACUAAGCCACCACGUCCCCAACAACAACAACAACAACAACAACAACAACAACAAUAACAACAAGUUAAAAAAAAAAAGAAGACGAAGAGGAAGAACAGAAUGUUGGCUCUGCUAAGCCAACAUAAUAAGCUCCACCCACAGGCCAGGAAGAUGCCCAGCAGCAGGAGCAGGCCCUUAUAGCCAUACACCACUCCUAAAGAGAAAAGGGUGAGAAUUAAGCAUUUUUUUUGUUUGUGUUUUGGAAACACAAGUGGCAAAAAUAGCAUUAAUUACUCUGUGUGAUGAGGAUUAUUAAUGCAUUGAAUUAAUACAUCUCUUCACAUAAUGACAAUGAUACCUCACAUGACAUUUCUUCCAUACAGUGGUGCUCUAAUGACAGUACAUUGUACAGCAUUGACUGAUUCUCAAAUACAUUGCUCUACAUACGUUCUGCAGUGUAUUCAACACAAUAUCCUAACUGGCCAUACAAGCUCUGGUUAUACACCUGAAGAAUAGGCCAAAUUAUUUUUGAGUCAUACAGCAAGUACAAGUAAAGUAAUUUGCCGCUUACAAGCACCUGCAAGUAUUCCUUUAGUAUAUGUCUAAUGCUACAGUCAAACUUGGUUGUGUGUUAACUAUGUUUAUAAAAAAAAACCUCUACACAUAUGGUCCACUGUUGCAGUAUUCACUGCUUUGAAAGUGGAAAUUUUCUGCUCAUGAGCUAUGACACAUUAUUGUCAUUUCUCAGUAUGGGAAAACCCAUGGAAGUUCAGUUAGCAGUCAAGCUUAAUGUAGUCACAGAGUAAUUUUAGCUGUACAGAAACUUUUCUUGGUAAUUUACCAACACAUCUGAGGAAAGUGUUGCUAUUCCUGAUAGGUUUGUUUGACAGUUUACUUCCACAGUAACUGUCCCUUUACACUGUGUGUGCUCCACAGCUGAAUCAUUAGCCUCAGUCAUGAGCUAGCUUAGCAUACAUUAUAAUAGGAAAGUGACUAGCAUGGCACAUACCACAACGAUGAGUCAUUGAUAAAAUGCAUAUAGCCAGAAUAACAACUAAUCAGUAAAAACAGUUAGUGUAAUAAUGUAUGGUAAGGUUAAAGCAAGGAAAAGAAAAUACAUUUUAGUUUAUUACUAUAUUCUUAUCAUUUUAAAUUGAAGUAGUACAGGUAAUAAACAUAAGACUAAACAGUUACAGAGAAGCAUGGAGUUGAAAGAAAGAAAAAAAAGGAGAGAGAAAAAACACAAUGGCAAAAGACAUUCAUUUCCAAAUACCAGUAUUUUUCUUCUUCUGUUUUAGCUUAGUGUUGUUUCCUUUUUUUCCCUUCUCUAACAAAUGAGAUUUAACUUCACCUCUUAAUACCACCUUAAUAGUGUUGCUAAGAUUUCCAGAGAAUUAUUUAUGUCCUAGGAAGCGCAGUACUAAAAUGUGGUGGUUCAGUGGUUACAGUUCUGUGCUAGUGAUCAGAGGGUUGUGAAGACUGUCAAAUAACUAUUGAUGAGGGCUUGAGCAAAGAAGUUAACCCUUAACUGCUCAUCUGUGUGCAUGUGGCUUGGUCCUGCCUUGACUAUAAGUCAGUGCAAGUUAAACAUCUGCCAUUUAAAGAACAUGUUAACAUGUUCAAAUGACAAAUGUCUGGGGUGAGACAUCAGUAUAUUUUUAGUCAUGAUUUCCUCCCAACGUUAGCUUUAGCCAUUCUGAGAGUUCCCCCUCACUGUAUCUAUAAUGAACGUUUGUUGCAGACUGAAACUCUGCUGUCCUCUGCUGAAACUGUGAGAAAUUUCCGCACCGCUGAUUCUUUCACUUAGCAGCAACAGAGCGUGAAUGUUUAUCGGCGCAAGCAUGAGAGAAAAUGAGGUGUCAAGUAAUUGGUUGUAAUUAUAAGCUGUAAUUCCAAUAACAGUUAAGAAAAAAUUGCAUUGAACACUUUGGCAAUGGAAAUAUCACGCACCCUGAUCAAGUUUUAAGAACUACACAACUUGGCACAGAACAGCAAUACAAAAAAAAUGCUUCACUGUUGAAUAAUAUUUAUGAAAAGAUAUACUGAGCAAAAUUCACACGAUCUGUCACAUAACUGAAGUUUAUUGGUUUUAUUUCCCUGCCUUCCACCAGAGUAGUUAUCUACAGUAAUCAGUAAGGUCUAUCCUCUACCACAUGUCAGUGUCUCCAAACUAAGAUGAUGAAUUUAGGAUGCUUGCCCAAGUCUUCUUGAUAUGCAUAAGUUUGGCCUCCGUAUCUUGGUAAACCAGGCCACUGUCCCUGCAGCACUGUCACAAUUUAUAGCUUUUUCCUCCCGAUAAGGCUGUUUUGUGUUCAUACAUAGGGAAUAUAUAGCAAAGACAUGGCCCAACAAAUUCUGACCUUACAGGUCCUGAGAACAAAGUUUAUUUGUCUUAAGAAUUUAUGUUAAUACCCAUCACUGGUUCCUCAGUAGAUUGACAUCAUCUUUUUUUUAAGGGGUUGGGGGGUGCAAAAUGAGAACAUCCUGCUCUGUGUUCAUUUGCAAGACAUUUUCACUGACUGACCCAGAUCAGUGAAUCCCAAACUGUGAUGCUCAGAUGGAAAAGAGACUAAGAAAUAGGCAGAAAGAAUAAAGAAGAAUAAAAUAAAGCAGGAAAUCAUAAAAGAAUAUGAAAAUGGAAGACAUAGAAAAGGACAUGAGAGAGAGACAGACUAGACAGAGAUGAAGGAUGCAGUACCGAG